UACAUCCACACCGCACCGAGUUUCUUACGCCGGUUCUUCUCCGGGCUGAGGUUAACGUUUCUUUCCGAACCGGAAGUAGCAUAUCAAAAUGAAGGACUUAACCUAGCAGAUAAAAAAAAAAUAGACAUAUUAUACAACAGUAGCGGACACAAAAUAAAAUAGAAAUAUUUAUUAAGGAGAGACUAUAUGCGUGGGUCCAACGGUACAUAAAUACUAAAUAAUUGUUCAAUUUAAACCACCCUGUGUCCCAAUCUGAGUGCAUACGCUACAGUUGCUAUCCUUAUCUGUUAUACUUUUCCAUACUUUGCUAAACUUAUCCAGCGUUAUCCGAUAUAUCGAUAUUUUUAUCGAAAUCAGUCUAUAUAAGCAAGUGUAAAGUAUUAAAUCUUUAAUUAAAUUUACUCGGUUAGGCUAGUUCACAUCUGUCCACUGGCCGAAGUAUAUUAAAUAAAGGAAAAUGGCUAUGUCUAUACACAACAAUAUUGUUUACGGGCUGGAGGAACGCCAAAUUCCAGUCCGCUUGUCGUACCCACAGUUUUUAUUUGACCAGCUGAAGAAGGGUGGAGAUAAAGUAGCCUUAGACGCGUUGACCUUGGGCGUCAAUGGUGAGGAUGUACAACACGCCUCUUCAGCAUCACACCAGCAACAUCAGUCACUUUACACAGAUCUACAGCCAGACUCCCGUGACCCUCCAGUUUACACUGAGCAUUGCAGUCCUGAGAAAAUCAAGAUUGAUACCCACGCAAAAUCUUCUAGCACACUGCAUUUUCUUUAUUAUAUAAUCGUUAUAUUAACAUUAUCAACCACCAAUGUACACUGCCGCGAGAUUGGAGAUAGACCACAGUCUGCACUUGGUGUAACAUAUUCUCAGCCUAUACAGCUAUUAAGAUCCGUUGCAAUAACCAAUAGCCCUAAUAUGAAAAAUGUUAAUUUUCUAUACCAUAAUGGACCUGGUGGAACAAGAUCAGUUACAAUAACCAAUUGCCCUAGCAUGACAAAUGUUAAUUUUAUAUUCAACGAUCAACCUGGUGCAACAAUAACAGUUAGAAUAACCAACUGCGCCAAUAUGUCAAACGUUGCAUUUUUUUUCAAUGCUGGACCUGAUUCAUCAAUAACAGCUACACUAACGAAUUGCCCUAACAUGUCACAUGUAACAUUGAUUUUCAAUGCUGCACCUGGUCGCAGAAUAACAGCUUCCAUAAUCAAUCGCCCUAAUUUGUCAGGCGAGACAUUAAUUUACAACUAAAUUUGUCACAAAUAUGUAAAUAUUAAACUCGCAAAAUACCCUUAGUAUAUACUAAGGCAACGCAUAUGUUCGAAGCUGACUUGAAUCCAUCGCGACAAUAUGGAGCCUGCGUAAACAUCAGUACGUACACUCUUAUGUAUGAGAGGCUGCAAAAAUCAUUCAUACGCUUCUUUUUCCGUAAACUCCAUGGGUUCUAUCCAUAUCUGAAAUAUAUAUAAUGUGAAAAUAGUUCUUAAUAGUCAUGUAGUUCUAUAAAAAUAUAAUAUUUGUAUACAAGUGAAAUUGACUACGGAAUUCGUGAAAUUUGUCAAAUGUUUAAUAUAUUACUAAAUAUUAUUACUAUGAAAUAUCGUUUCAUAGCACAUGAACAUUCUAAGCCGUAAAGAGUUUUACUAUUAAAGCAAUCCCAAUAAAAAAAAUAUAUAUGAAAAAUACAUAUAUUUAAUAAGAAAUAAAAUGUAGUAUUUAUAAAUAAUUAAAUGCGAUAAUAAAACCUAAUUAUUACAUCAAUUCAGUAGUAUACAAUAAAAUAGGUUUUAAGAAAAGUAAAUAUUAAAUGAAAGAAAAAAAUAUUAAGUAACAAUAAUAAUAUAAUACCGUGUUUUUUUUUUAUUGCCGUUAAUUUCAAGGGUGCAUCCCUGAGCUUAAAUUAAGUAACUUUCUCAAAGACACCGUUAUUCUACUUAACUCCAUUUCGGAGAUAAGAUCUUACUGAUACCCCGAAGUUAACGGAAUUCAAUAAAAACGCGGUGUAUAAAAGACAAUAUAUAUUUAUAAAAAAUAAAAAUGAUGAAUAAUAAGAAAAAAAUGAAAUGCGUAUAUAAAAUAAAUAUGUAUAAACUUUCCUACAAAUUAACGAAUAGAAAAAAAAAACAAUUUUAUUUAAAAUAGCUUAAAUUAACAUUCAUAGAACAUAUAUGAAUAUAUGAUGAUGAAAAUAAAAAUUAAGUAAAAUAAUUAAAAUUAUGAAAUAAAUGGAAACAAAAUAAAUCAAACAAAAAUGAUUAAAAAAUAAACAAAAACAAAAAAUAUGACAAAAAAAUACCUGUAUUGUUUAAAUAAAAAAUUACUAUAAAAUAAUAAUAAAUAAAACGAAACAUUAUUACCAAAAAAUACAAAAAAAAACAAAAAAAAUAUCUUUAUAAAAAUAACUCAUGUAUACAUACUUUCCUACAAAUUAACAAAGAAAACACAAUAUCUUAUAAAAUAGCUUAAAUUAAUAAUUAAGUAAAAAAAAAAAACAAAAAAAAAAUAAUAAUUAUAAAAAUAAUACAUGUUAUACAAAUUAACAAAGAAAAAUCAAUAUCUUCUAAAAUAGCUUAAAUUUAUGUAAAACAGUGAACACAAUCCACCCUUUGCAAGUACUUAAUCUCUCUCACAACUCUGUCACAAAGGUUUUGACUGAUAAACUGGAAUACAAAGCUUGUAAUAAUAAAAGUUUGCCACGAUUUGAAAGCUUGUUUUAUACUGAUCAAAACAUAAUAUAAUUAGUUUAAAAUUUAGAUCGUGACUUUACUUACUACUUUUUUACUUUGGGAUUUAGGGGAGCGGGGGUAACUGGAGCAGGCGGUUAAUGACAGCUGUGUCAAUAUAAUUGUUAUGUUCGAGGAAAAAAAACCUUAAAACAACAAUUAGUCUACGCAAUAUUAGGCUAUUAAGGCAUAUAAACAACAAACUUCCAAUUUACUUAAAAAUUAUCGCAUCACACGUGGAAUUUAUAACUAAAUUAAGGACUUUGCUGUUAGAAGGCUAUUUUUAUAGUUUUAAUGAAAUAUUUCAAGGAUAUAAACCUAUAAUACAUAUAUCCAUUCUUUUUUAAAUCUAUUUUAAAUAUGGUUUCCGAUUAAGCUACUACUAAUACUUGCGCAAUUUUGCCUUUACAGUUCAACUGGACGAAAUCGAAUGCCACACACGCUCCGUUUUGCCUGUGCAGUUGAUAAAACUGCGCAGGUAUACCCUAGUGUGUAUGGCCAGCUUUAUAUGUAAUUGACAUCGUACAUGCCAUGAAUUUUUGACGUGUUUACAUUUGUAGUGAUGGCUGUAAUUUUUUGUGUAGCUUUUUGACAUUUUAGUGAUGUUUGUAUUUUUUUUAGUGUAUGUUCUUAAUCUAUUGUACUGUAUUGUAUGACUACCUAAUAUAAGCUAGCAUACAAAUAUACUGAAACACUACUGUAUUGUUUAUGAAAUAAAUAUUUGAAUCGAAUUGAAAGAUAUAGACUUCGGGCCUGUUUCACAAUUUCCAAGUAAAGUUCGGAAUAAGCUUAUCUGACGAAUAAAAUCAUCGUUGGUGUUUCACAAUCUUCAUACAAGCGUAACUGGUAGUGCUAUAUUUAUAUAAAGUGCUAAGUUUUGCAGGAAAUAUAUCUGGCAGUUACUUGGACAAUCUGAAACAGGCCCUUACACAAUUAUCGUAUUUAUGCAAACGUCAUUCAGGCUUGCCUCCUAUAAGCAACAUCGUAGUGGCCCGAUAUUAGUUGCAAGAGACGAAUGUUUGGUUUUAUCCCCGCGGUUAUAGGUAAUAAAUAUUAAUUUCAUCAUUGAUGAUGAGCGUUGAAUAUACGUACUGUUUUGUAUUUACACGAAAUAUAUGACUAUGUAUAUUUAACCUUU